ensembl:snoRNA SNORD15 Small nucleolar RNA SNORD15
CAUCAAGGAUGAUACGAUGACAGCUCUGAUGG